rnacentral:rRNA from 1 species
AACGAACGCUGGCGGCGUGCUUAACACAUGCAAGUCGAACGCGAACGAUUUUCUUCGGAGAAUCUAGUAGAGUGGCGCACGGGUGAGUAACGCGUAAGUUAUCUACCCUCCCAUCUGGAAUAACCCACCGAAAGGUGUGCUAAUACCGGAUACGUUGGAAACAAGAAAGGUGGCCUCUAUUUAUACGCUACCGUGGGGGGAUGAGCUUGCGUACCAUUAGCUAGUUGGUAGGGUAAUGGCCUACCAAGGCAACGAUGGUUAGCGGGUCUGAGAGGAUGAUCCGCCACACUGGAACUGGAACACGGACCAG